rnacentral:lncRNA from 1 species
AUCAAAGAAUGAAAUAAUGAAGCAUUAAACAAUGUAUGAGUGUAAGUGCAAGGGACAUGUCUCAUUGUAAGAAAGCCCAAGAGUAAGCUAUGUGAGGUUGAUGGCGAUGCUUAAAAAGCAAUCGACUUACGAGGGUGUAAAAAUGGGCUCGAUAUUAAAUCGAGAAAAGUAUGAUUUUUAUAGUUUUUUAAAAAAAUGGUUUUGAACUAAACUAAAAUACAACAACUAUGCAUUAUUAACAAAUGAAAUCAUGAGUAUA